rnacentral:rRNA from 1 species
AGCGAACGCUGGCGGCAGGCUUAACACAUGCAAGUCGAGCGGGCGUAGCAAUACGUCAGCGGCAGACGGGUGAGUAACGCGUGGGAACAUACCUUUUGGUUCGGAACAACACAGGGAAACUUGUGCUAAUACCGGAUAAACCCUUACGGGGAAGAUUUAUCGCCGAAAGAUUGGCCCGCGUCUGAUUAGCUAGUUGGUGAGGUAAUGGCUCACCAAGGCGACGAUCAGUAGCNGGUCUGAGAGGAUGAUCAGCCACAUUGGGACUGAGACACGGCCCAAACUCCUACGGGAGGCAGCAGUGGGGAAUAUUGGACAAUGGGCGCAAGCCUGAUCCAGCCAUGCCGCGUGAGUGAUGAAGGCCCUAGGGUUGUAAAGCUCUUUUGUGCGGGAAGAUAAUGACGGUACCGCAAGAAUAAGCCCCGGCUAACUUCGUGCCAGCCGCCGCCGUAAU